UACGGAGUCGAUUGUCGAUUGCAGCAAUUGAUAUUGUGAGGCAUCUCAGCUAUUGGCUCAAGCAAAAAGCAAGAUUUUGGAGGGGACAUCUUUAAGCACGGAGUCAUAACCAUCAUGGAAGGGUGGUCUCUCUUUGGAGUAGUCAUGGGUGUGGAAAAGUCUAACCCACACUCAUUGUUAUUUUUCACUUCUGUGGCAACAGAAUCCCCACAAGGCUUACUUGGAGUUGUGUUCAUCUUCAUGCCUUCAAGCAAAUCAUCAUUGUCGUCUCUAGAGAUUGCCAAAAAUGAUGACGACUCCGUUCUGGAUCCAGGAACCAUGUUUUUCAUUACUCUUGCAGACAACUCC
rnacentral:lncRNA from 1 species